rnacentral:lncRNA from 1 species
ACCUCACCAUGUUCACAGAUGGGAGUUCCUUUAUGGAAUAUGGAGAAUGCAAAGCUGGAUAUGCUGUGGUGACCUUACAUGACACCAUAGAGGCACAAUCUUUGCCCCUAGGCACAAGCUCACAACUAGUUGAAUUGAUAGCCCUAAUAAGAGCAUUGGAAAUAGGGAAACAACAGAGAAUUAAUAUUUAUACUGACUCUAAAUAUGCCUACCUAAUCCUGCAUGCACAUGCAGCAAUUUGGAAGGAAAGAGGAUUUCAAACGACUGGGGGAACGUCUAUUUAAGAACUAUGAGCAAAUCUUAAGAAUGCUAGAGGCUGUCCAUUUACCCAAAGAGGUAGCAGUAAUUCAUUGCCAAGGACAUCAGAAAGGGAUAGAUGAGAUAGCAGAUGGGAACAGACUAGCAGACCAACAAGCCAAAGAGGCUGCUAAGGGAAAUUCACAGAUAACUACAUUAGCCCCUUUGAUAUGGACAGGCCCUCCCCCAGAGAUAAGACCUCAGUACACCCAGGAGGAAACUAAAAAGGCACUAUCCAAAGGAGGUAUUCUUUUACCCUCUGGGUGGAUUCAAAUGGAAGAUGACAAACUUUAUUUACCUGCUAAUUCCCAGUGGAAGAUUUUACAUACCUUACAUCAAUCUUUCUACCUAGGAGAAGAAAAUACUCUCAAAUCAACCCGAGAGAUAUUUGAAGGAAAGGAUCUUUCAAAGACUAUCCACCAAAUAGUCAAAGCCUGUGACACAUGCCAAAGAAAUAAUCCACUUAAUUCUGCCAAAAAGCCCCCAGGAUUACAAAGGACGGGACAGUUCCCUGGGGAAGACUGGCAACUUGAUUUUACCCAUAUGCCUAAGAGUAAUGGAUUUCAAUAUUUAUUAGUUAUGAUAGACACUUUUACUGGAUGGACUGAAGCCUACCCCUCCCGAACUGAACAAGCAGGAGAGGUAGUCAAGGCAUUAUUACAG